rnacentral:rRNA from 1 species
UACGUAGGGGGCUAGCGUUGUCCGGAUUUAUUGGGCGUAAAGAGCGUGUAGGCGGCCAGGUAGGUCUGGUGUGAAAACUCGAGGCUUAACCUCGAGAUGUCAUCGGAAACCAUUUGGCUAGAGUCCGGAAGAGGAGAGUGGAAUUCCUGGUGUAGCGGUGAAAUGCGCAGAUAUCAGGAAGAACACCUAUGGCGAAAGCAGCUCUCUGGGACGGUACUGACGCUGAGACGCGAAAGCGUGGGGAGCGAACAGG